AGGUCCUGGGGAUAGUUGGCCAUGUUCUCCCCCAGCUGAAGCAGACAGUCCGAGAAGCCUUUAAACACGGAGUCACAUUGACCAGCACUGACCAGCACCGUCUGCAACACAGAGACUGAGGAAGAAGAGGAGGAAGAGGAGGAGGAAAGCAGGCCUCUGAUUGGUCGUGUCUGCGCUGCCUCGCCUACCGGACGAACGACAAACCACCAGGACCACCCUGACUACCUGAGGAACCGCUCUACAGAGGACAGAGGACAACAGAGGACGACAAAACCAGGAGGAAGGUCAAAGGAAGCUGCACACUGAAGACAGAAUCCGGCCUCCUCUAAACCAAUCAGAAGACGGCACAGAGAUGGACUCGCCUCGCUGCCCCACUUAUGACUUUAAAGGGUUAGAUGUCAUCGGUGACCCCUGCUGGUGGACCGGAGGAACUGCACACUGCGCCGCCUCCCUCCUCCAGCUGCAGAGGCCCCGAUGUGACACCUCCAUCACCCCUGCUCAUGUUUUUCUUCUCAUCCAGUCCCAGAAAACGACUCCAACCAGCAGUGGACGUUUGUGCUGACGCAUCCGGUCUGAUUCCUGUUCUGAAAAACACCUCAGUGAGCCGUCACUCAUCCACUCUGCGCCUUCCACCAUCAGGCAGCACGAACAAACAGAAUCAAGUUCAAAUGUUGUGUCAAAGAGGGAAAUUAAACAGAAGAUUUAAAUCAGAUGAAACUGAAUAAGACAUUUUAGACAGUAGAGUGAAAGUUACACUGCAGCUGCUGGGUGAAACAUGAAUAAACAGUCCCAAAUCUCAAGGCCUCAGCCAUGACGUCAGGAUGCCCGACCCCCAAUCCAAAUUUGACGAUGGAUUUUGAUGCUGUUCUAAAAUAUUUAAAGUCACAGUAACACGUGGAAUUUAUUUAUAGUUUGUGGUUAUUUCUUUACAUCACCUUACAGUGUUCAUUUUGCUCUGCUUUUAUUUAGUAUUUUUUAUUUUUAUUAAAGCAUGUCAGUCAGCUCCGACUGGGCAGCAGGAGGUUUGAGCCGGGGCCCAGUGAUGUGAGGAGGGGCCCGUGGCCUCGGUGCAGGGCCCAGAAAUCUGUGCUGCGGCCCUGCUCAUCCUGCUGGGAGAUCACAGCGUACAUAAUACAUCAUAACUCCUGAUCAGGACAAAAGUCUGAGGAGGGAACUCAAUGAGCUCAGUGAGGAGGAAGGAGGGCUGACGCCACGGCGGCAAAUUCUUCAAUGGAUCUGAGCGUGUGUGUUGUUAAUCAUUUGUUUUCUCAGGCAGUGGGGCCAUCUGGUGUUCAAACGUGGAACAGCAGCUGUGACUGCAGCUCACCUUCCUGUUUUCAACAGUUUGAGAAAAUAACUAAGUACAUUUCCUCAAGUACUGUGCUCAAAUACUGUGUUGAGGUACUUAGGUAUUGUUUAGAUCCUCUGAUAUCUUCUACUUCUACUGCACUGCGAACACCUGCUGUACGUUUGACUGGACGAAGUUCUUUAUCAUCACAUGCACAGCAGCACCAGUGAAGUCCUUGGACUGAAUUAAAUAGCUGAAGUGUCCCUUUAACAGCUUAUUAUUUUCUCUUCACUGAGCUGUCGUUUUCACAUCUGCAACCCAAACAUUAAAAGUUUCUCCCCUCAGUCUUUUCUCUUGCUUCUCCUCCUUUCCUGUCUUGUCUGACAUUUCAGGGUCACGUGAAGACCAGCAGGCAGCAGAUGACCUUUGACCUCAGAGCUCGGCGAGGCUGUGAUGGGAGAGGACUUGGUUCGGGAUGGGUGAGCGAAUGGAAAUAAGAUCAAUAAAGCCUCACAGCCGAAAGGCUUGUGAGCGAAGGCUGGGUCACGAUUUGUGAGACUUUGUUUUUAGUACUUGUCUUUGUCUCGGAGUACUUCACAUAACGCGUGUGACUGAAGUAGUAAGUGUUUUUAUUUCAGUGUACUCGGCUGCCUUUCACAGCGCCGAGCUUGUGGUCGUCUGUCAGCUCUGCUUCGUCUCUUAUUUAUCAAUUAGCUGCAUCUGUGUGUUCGGGGGUGUCGGCUGAUCCCUGCAGGAUAAUUACAGGGCUGCCUCAGAACAAAGCGCCUGUUGAGGCUGUAAUUGGUUUGCGGUCUGGCGGCGGCGGUGACUCACUGCUGGGUAUUGACUCGCUCUCCCGUGGCGGCGGCGAGGAGUUUGUUCUGCCGCUCUGAGAUGCUCGGCUCAUUUCGGGACCAAACCCCUGAGGAGUUCUCUGAGGAGUCCAGAUCAGUUCUCCCGUU